CGAGGCGGCCGGGGACGCUCCCGGGUCGGGGCCGCGGCCUUGGCAUAGGGCCUCGCUGAGGAGCUCCGGCGGCCUCCCUCUCCCCGCCCGCUGCCGCCGCCGCCGUCCCACCCCGAACCCGCUGCAGCCCCUGCGCGUCUCCGCGGCCUGAGGACUCGAGCGGCUGGUUGGCCGGAGCGGGAGGGCCGGCGAUCAUCUAGCCGCCGGGAGAGCGCCAAACAUCCCUGGACUAGAAGUGACGAGGAAAAUAAAGCAGCCAAGAAAGUUUAUUCUCUUUGCUGGUAUUUCUUCCACUUGACGCUUGUCUGAGAAACGCGUGCGAACUCCCUCUAGACUUCGCUAUUGCACGGCUUUCGUCGGUGAUGGCUUUUACUUAGCCGUGCCUGACAAAUCAUUAAACACACACGGUACUUUUAUCAUCCGGCAGAUCUGCUCAACUCCACCAGCAAAUGCCAGAGUCACCCCUUUCCUCCGUAUCACAAGGCUCAAAAACAACAGGACUAGAAAUAGACUUUAUCUGACAGUAACUCAGCUUUGCCCCCCUAUUUGAUUCCAACCGCUACACAGCAGGAAAGAUUUGAGCUUAGAUGCCUUGUCUUUGAGGAUGCCACCCUUCAGUGCUUCAGGGAAGAUGAAAAAACCGAGGUCCAGAAAAGUUAUGUGGCAUCGUGAUAGAAAUCAGGAUCUUCCUUCAAGUUUGCCAAGGAUCAUAAAAGAACCCUUUUCUGUAGUGCGUUGAAGAAGUUCUUGUGCAGUGAGCAAUGUAUGAAACAUUAGUACAAUUUAUUUUCUCUUUUCUUGGUAUUGCAACACCGUUUGAACCAACCAGCCAGAGCGCACCGUUGCCUUCCAUACUUGCCUGCCAGAGACUAAUGUAAUAAAACUGACAUUUCAUUUAUUUGACACCUGUUUCUCAACAAUAACCCUUCCGAAUUUGCCAGUUAACCACACGAGGGUUUCCCCUCUUUUGUUGUGUGGUUGGUUGGUUGGUUUGAUUGAGCUUCAAGUUUUUUGACUCACAGCGCAUAUUCACCUUGGUUGCUGGUAAAAGUUAUUUUAAAUAGUCUCCAGGCUUCUCAAUUUUUUUUUUUUCACAGCCAAGGAAAUAGUAACUAUCCAACCCGAGGUAAUUAAUCAUUCUGGACUGUUUUCUUAUCUUUCACCUGGGGAUAAAAAUGUUUGCCUUACCUUUCCUCUCAGAAUUGAUGGACGGUCUGAAUGCAGUAAUGUCACUGAAUGGACGUUGAUGAAAUAUAAUGCAUGGUAUAAAAUGCACAGUAUUGUUUUUUUCACAUCAAUUAUGUGAUUGACUAACCACUAAGCCAAUGUGUAUUUUGAUGUAAUUAGAUCUAGGUUCUGGGCUGGCUCCAGAGAAAGAUUACUUUCUUUGUCUUAGCUCCAGAAAACAGAAGAGGGUCGUGCAUCACCAAAGGCCAGGCCCUGAAAGAUCUCCACUACUCACUGUCAAAAACAUUUGAUUAUAUUUCACAAUGUAUACAAAUAUCAAAUCA